rnacentral:rRNA from 1 species
GAUAAACGCUGGCGGCGCACAUAAGACAUGCAAGUCGAACGGACUUAACUCAUUCUUUACGAUUGAGAGCGGUUAGUGGCGGACUGGUGAGUAACACGUAAGCAAUCUGCCUAUCAGAGGGGAACAACAGUUAGAAAUGACUGCUAAUACCGCAUAUGCCAUAAUCACCACAUGGUGAUAGUGGGAAAGGAGCAAUCCGCUGAUAGAUGGGCUUGCGUCUGAUUAGAUAGUUGGUGGGGUAACGGCCUACCAAGUCGACGAUCAGUAGCCGGACUGAGAGGUUGAACGGCCACAUUGGGACUGAGAUACGGCCCAGACUCCUACGGGAGGCAGCAGUCGGGGAAUAUUGCGCAAAUUGGGAGGAAACUCUGACGCAGUGACGCCGCGUGCAGGGAANAAGGUUUUCGGAUUGUAAACUGCUUUAGACAGGGGAAGAUACCAAGGACAGUACCUGUAGAAUAA